rnacentral:misc_RNA from 1 species
GUAAUAGUUCUCUUAUUAAACCUUGUUAAUCUAACUUAAUAAGACUAAAGGAAUUGCAUAGUACGAACGAUACUAAAACGCAGCUUGCAUUCUUAUGUGGAAUUUAGGGAAGACAUCAAUGAACGAAUGCGACGAAACGAGCUGACUAACGAUGACGCUGGCGAGGUUUAUUUAAACGAUGACGGAGAUAUUGUGGCAAGGGU